GCCUUUGUGGUGUAAUGGUCAGCACGCUCGGCGCGUAUGCGAGAGGUCUAUGGUUCCAGUCCCGGUAAGGGCA
rnacentral:tRNA from 1 species